GUGGCGAACGGGUGAGUAACACGUGAGCAAUCUGCCCCUGACUCUGGGAUAAGCGCUGGAAACGGCGUCUAAUACCGGAUACGAGCUGCGAAGGCAUCUUCAGCAGCUGGAAAGAAUUUCGGUCAGGGAUGAGCUCGCGGCCUAUCAGCUUGUUGGUGAGGUAACGGCUCACCAAGGCGUCGACGGGUAGCCGGCCUGAGAGGGUGACCGGCCACACUGGGACUGAGACACGGCCCAGACUCCUACGGGAGGCAGCAGUGGGGAAUAUUGCACAAUGGGCGAAAGCCUGAUGCAGCAACGCCGCGUGAGGGACGACGGCCUUCGGGUUGUAAACCUCUUUUAGCAGGAAAGAAGCGAAAGUGACGGUACCUGCAGAAAAAGCGCCGGCUAACUACGUGCCAGCAGCCGCGGUAAUACGUAGGGCGCAAGCGUUAUCCGGAAUUAUUGGGCGUAAAGAGCUCGUAGGCGGUCUGUCGCGUCUGCUGUGAAAACCCGAGGCUCAACCUCGGGCCUGCAGUGGGUACGGGCAGACUAGAGUGCGGUAGGGGAGAUUGGAAUUCCUGGUGUAGCGGUGGAAUGCGCAGAUAUCAGGAGGAACACCGAUGGCGAAGGCAGAUCUCUGGGCCGUAACUGACGCUGAGGAGCGAAAGGGUGGGGAGCAAACAGGCUUAGAUACCCUGGUAGUCCAC
rnacentral:rRNA from 1 species